GGGCUUGCCUCUGGGUACCAGGGAUGCAGCAUACCAGGACUUGGCAUAUGGAGCUGGAACCCAUCCUGGAUACUACAGAGGGGUUCUUUCCCAUAGCAGAUGACUUUGCUGCCUGGCAGUCUCCUGUUCACCACUGCUGACUGCAAGGAUACUGGGCUCAAGAGGGAUGCAGACUCUCUUCUCAUCUUUGGGACAGGGACCAAGCUGAAUAGAUGAUGAGGAUGCUGCAGUGCAGAAGAGCCCAGAACAUUUGGAGAGCAG